rnacentral:rRNA from 4 species
CCACCUCAAGAUGAGUGCUCUCC